rfam:Cavia porcellus supercont2_15 genomic scaffold, whole genome shotgun sequence.
GGGGAUUUAGCUCAGUGGCAGAAGCACCUGCCUGGCAAGCAUGAGGUCAUAAGUUCAAUCCCCG